GCAAUGGAUCGAUUCCCACCGCGGGGGGCGGCGCUCCCGGCGUCCUUGGCCAAAAUGUAGGCCAACCGCGUGCGGUAUUCACGGGAGACAACUUUCCGUCCCUAAGCCCCAGMGGAUGAGGGGGGAAUAUCAUAUGUGACACCCAGGCARACGUGCCCUCGGCCAGAAAGCUUASGGCGCAACUUGCGUUCCCUGACUCGAUGGUUCASGGGAUUCUGCAAUUCACACCAAGUAUCCCAAUUCGCUACUUUCUUCAUCAAUGCKAGAGCCUAGAUAUCCGUUGCCGAGAGUCGUUUUGCACUUUAUGUCGUGACUUAACAUCCCCGCACACCCCGCCUCCCGGGAAGCGAAUGCUGCCUGUUCGGUUGCCUGUUCCAUGACACUUUUCCUGGGGUGUUUUUGUGA
rnacentral:misc_RNA from 1 species